rnacentral:rRNA from 1 species
UGGAGGUAAACGCUGUGAACUGAAACAUCUCAUUAGCAGCAGGAAUAUAAAGAAAUUUCGAUUCCCUAAGUAGCGGCGAGCGAACGGGGAACAGCCCAAACCAAAGUGCUUGCACUUUGGGGUUGUAGGACUGAACAUUUGAGUUACCAAAGAACUUGAUAGUCGAAGGAUUUGGGAAAAUCCGCCAUAGAUGGUGAUAGCCCAGUAGAUUAAAUCAAAUUCUCUCAGUUCAGGAUCCUGAGUACGGCGGAACACGUGAAAUUCCGUCGGAAUCCGGGAGGACCAUCUCCCAAGGCUAAAUACUACCUAGUGACCGAUAGUGAACCAGUACCGUGAGGGAAAGGUGAAAAGCACCCCGGGAGGGGAGUGAAAUAGUUCCUGAAACCAUGUGCCUACAAUAAGUCAGAGCGCGUUAAUGCGUGAUGGCGUGCCUUUUGUAGAAUGAACCGGCGAGUUAUGAUCCCGUGCAAGGUUAAGACUAAAAAGUCGGAGCCGUAGCGAAAGCGAGUCUGAAAUGGGCGCUUUGAGUAC